GAUGAACGCUAGCGGCAGGCCUAAUACAUGCAAGUCGAACGGGCGGUAGCAAUACCGCUAGUGGCGCACGGGUGCGUAACGCGUAAACAACCUGCCCAGAUCUGGGUGAUAGCCCGCCGAAAGGCGGAUUAAUACCGCAUAAACCCACAGUGUGGCAUCACAUAAUGGGUAAAGAUUUAUCGGAUCUGGAUGGGGUUGCGUAGCAUGAGCUAGUUGGCGGGGUAAUGGCCCACCAAGGCGACGAUGCUUAGGGGGCCUGCGAGGGUGAGCCCCCACAGUGGCACUGAGAUACGGGCCAGACUCCUACGGCAGGCAGCAGUAGGGAAGAUUAGGCGAUGAGCGAGAGCCAGACCCAGCCAUGCCGCGUGCCGGAUGAAGGCCUUCUGGGUUGUAAACGGCGUUGCUCAGGGAAGAAAACGGGGAUGCGUCCUCAAGUGACGGUACCUGAGAAAUAAGCACCGGCUAACUACGUG
rnacentral:rRNA from 1 species